GACGAACGCUGGCGGCGUGCUUAACACAUGCAAGUCGAACGGUGAAGCGCCUUCCUUUUUGGUGGGUGUGGAUGAGUGGCGAACGGGUGAGUAACACGUGAGUAACCUGCCCCCUUCUUCUGGAUAACCGCAUGAAAGUGUGGCUAAUACGGGAUAUUCUGGGUCUGUCGCAUGAUGGGUCUGGGAAAGAUAUUGUUUCGGUGGGGGAUGGGCUCGCGGCCUAUCAGCUUGUUGGUGGGGUGAUGGGCUACCAAGGCGGUGACGGGUAGCCGGCCUGAGAGGGUGGACGGGCACACUGGGACUGAGACACGGCGCAGACUCCUACGGGGGGCAGCGGUGGGGAAUAGUGCACAAUGGGCGCAAGCCUGAUGCAGCGACGCCGCGUGAGGGAUGGAGGCCUUCGGGUUGUGAACCUCUUUCGCCAGUGAAGCAGGCCUGCCUCGUUUGUGGGUGGGUUGACGGUAGCUGGAUAAGAAGCGCCGGCUAACUACGUG
rnacentral:rRNA from 1 species